GAUGAACGCUAGCGAUAGGCUUAACACAUGCAAGUCGAGGGGCAGCACAAGGUAGCUUGCUCUCUGGGUGGCGACCGGCGCACGGGUGCGUAACGCGUAUGCAACUUGCCCUAUACAGGAGGAUAACCCGUCGAAAGACGGACUAAUACUGCGUAUGCUCACAACUUGGCAUCAAGUGGUGAGGAAAGAAAUUCGGUAUAGGAUAGGCAUGCGUCCCAUUAGCUUGUUGGUGAGGUAACGGCUCACCAAGGCAACGAUGGGUAGGGGAACUGAGAGGUUUAUCCCCCACACUGGUACUGAGACACGGACCAGACUCCUACGGGAGGCAGCAGUGAGGAAUAUUGGUCAAUGGGCGCGAGCCUGGACCAGCCAAGUCGCGUGAAGGAUGACUGUCUUAUGGAUUGUAAACUUCUUUUAUACGGGAAUAACAAGAGUCACGUGUGACUCCCUGCAUGUACCGUAUGAAUAAGCAUCGGCUAACUCCGUG
rnacentral:rRNA from 1 species